UAGGGAAUCUUCCACAAUGGGCGCAAGCCUGAUGGAGCAACACCGCGUGAGUGAAGAAGGGUUUCGGCUCGUAAAGCUCUGUUGUUAAAGAAGAACACGUAUGAGAGUAACUGUUCAUACGUUGACGGUAUUUAACCAGAAAGUCACGGCUAACUACGUGCCAGCAGCCGCGGUAAUACGUAGGUGGCAAGCGUUAUCCGGAUUUAUUGGGCGUAAAGAGAGUGCAGGCGGUUUUCUAAGUCUGAUGUGAAAGCCUUCGGCUUAACCGGAGAAGUGCAUCGGAAACUGGAUAACUUGAGUGCAGAAGGGGAGAGUGGAAUUCCAUGUGUAGCGGUGAAAUGCGUAGAUAUAUGGAGGAACACCGGUGGCGAAAGCGGCUCUCUGGUCUGUAACUGACGCUGAGGCUCGAAAGCGUGGGGAGCGAACAGGAUUAGAUACCCUGGUAGUCCACGCCGUANCGAUGAGUGCUAGGUGUUGGAUCCUUUCCGGGAUUCAGUGCCGCAGCUAANGCANUAANCACUCCGCCUGGGGAGUACNACCGCAAGGNU
rnacentral:rRNA from 1 species